AUAUCAUCAGCAUGCCUGCCUCCAGUGAUCCUGUGUGUCCUUUGGAAUCCGAGGCACUCUGUGAACCUUGAUGCAUGAAUGUAGUGAUAGUAACUACUGGUUCAGAGUCUUUUCAUCCUGAUUGCUGGGCUCUUACCAGGUUUCACACGUCUGGGGGCUCCCCGCUGGUUAGCAAGGCAGCCACUAAGAACUCUCUGAAUAGUCAUUUUCCUUUCGGAAACUGCUUAAAGAUGACUCGGGAGGACUUUUAAAUGGAGAAAUGUUCGUAUGCUGAGAUCCUGGCUGGUGACAGAAGGAUGGAAGAAGUGAUGCCUGAAGAUAUAGGAUCUUUUUCAACUUUUAAUCUGGACGACUUUGAAUUAAAGAAAAAAAAGAACAACUGUUCCAUUAUAAUUCAUGUAAAAUCAAGUCCAGGGCCAUGAGGGGCCGAGAUAAAGGGAACAACUAGAAGUAAGUGGAGGAUAUAAUUUCUCAGAAAAUUCUUAUAUUUUCUGUGCCUGGAAAUGGUUUCAAUACACAUCAUAAAAAUGAUAUAAAACUCAAUC
rnacentral:lncRNA from 1 species